GAAACGGUGAAUAGUCUGUCCCGUGUUGGAUUGUGAUGUCCCUUGUGAUGUCAUGAGCUCCAUGGGGCCGAGAAUUUUUCUUCCACCUCUUUACCACCAGCCCAGCAGCUAGAGGAACAGAGCAGUGUCCUACCUGUGCCCCUUAUCCUCCUCUGUAAACUGGGUCGGGGAGGUCAGAAAUCCAGGAUAAUCUCUUUGCCUUAAGGCCAGCUGAUUAGCAACCUUGCUUCCAUCUGCCACCCCGAGUUCUACUUGCAACGUGACAUACUUGUCCGCAGGUCCUGGGGAUUGGCGCGAGGACAGAGCCCACAACAAUGGUCGUUUCACCCGCCAGCUCGGAAGCCCAGAUGGUGCAGUCGCUGGGCUUCGCCAUCUACCGCGCGCUGGACUGGGGGCUGGA
rnacentral:lncRNA from 1 species